CAUGAUCAGUCCACCUCAGCCUCCUAAAGUGCUGGGAUUAUAGGCAUGAGCCACCGCACCUGGCCUACAUGUAGUAUGAUUACUGCUAUAUUUGGGUUUAAAACUAUCACUGUACCAUUUGUCACUUCUGCUUUGAUUUCCUUUUUCCUUCUUCUAUACCUCCCUUAGGAUUCAUGAAAUAUUUUUUAUUUAAUAUUCUUUCCCCUCUAUUAGCUUGUUAGUUACAUAUUCUUAUAUUAUUAUGUUAGUAAUUAUUUUAGAGAUUUACAAUAUGCAUCCUUGACUUAUUACAGUCUACUCAUAACUGGGUUUUUAAAAAUCACUUCCCAGACAAUACAAGAACCUUAAAACAUAUCAACUCAAUUUAUGCCUUUCUACCUUUCAUGCUAUUGUGUGUAUAUAUUUUACAUGCAUUUUAAGCAUAUACGUAUGUGCAUGUAUAUGUUUAUAUUUUAAGUAUAUGUAUUUUAUUUAUUGUAUAUAUUUUCUACAUAUACUAUGUUGACAAUAUAUACUUGAUAUUUAUAUAUUCACUAUAUAGUAUUCAUAUUUUAAGCCUCACAAGACAUUAUUAUUUUACAUGAUCAACACUCAUUUACAUUUGCUGACAUGUUAACCCUCUUUAGUCCUUUCUGCAUUUCCAUGCUUCCAUAAUCCUUCCACCUUAAAAACUCUAUUUAGUCUAGGUCCGCACAGUUUUUGUUUGGCUGAAAUUGUCUUUACUCCACCUUCAUUUUUGAAGUACAUUUUUGAUGACUAUAGAGUUCCCUACUGGCAGUAUUUUUUUCCUGCAUUUUACAAAUCCCAGUCCAUUGUUUUCUGGGUUCCAUCAUUUCCAUUUAAAUCAUUUGUUAGUUUUAUUGUUGCUCCUUUGAAGGCAAUGUGUCCUUCUGGUAAAAUUUUCUCCGUCUUUAGUUUUCAGUAGUUUUGCUGAUUACCUAGGUAUGGUUUCUUUUAUUUAUCCGGCUCGAGAUUAGUAGAGCUCCUAGAAUUUCUGGCUUGAUGUCUUUUAUUGAUUUUGGAAAACUAUCCGCCAAUAUUUUAAAUAUCGUUUUGCUCACUCUGUCUCCCCUCUCCUUCUUAGACUUCAUCUACAUAUAUGUUUGACCUUUCACCACAUCCCAUUUGUCUUUUAUGCUCAUUUCUAUAUUUUCUAUCCCUUUUCCAAAAUUUCAAUUUGAUUCUUAUGAAUAGAUACCAGUUUUCUAGUGAAAUUUCCCACUUUGUCAUCCCUUUUUCUUAAACAUAUAAUGGUUAUUAAAGUCCAUGUGAGACAAUAUAAGUAUCAGCAUCAUUUUUAGGUCUACUUUAUCAAUUGUUUCCUAUCUUAAUUUUUAGUCAUUUUGCUCUAUCUCUAGCAUGUCUGGCAACUUUUCAGAUUGAAGCCCAAAUAUCAGGUAUGAAAAAAUUGAAAAGGCUUUGGACAAUGAUAUAUUCCUCCAAAAAGAAUUUGAGGUCUUCUGGCAGUUAAGGAAAACUCAGAUUAUCUUGAUCUAAUCAGGGAUUGAGAUAGUUUGAUGCUGAAUUUCAGUCCGUGUGAAGGCUAGUUUAUCUGCAGAUUGUCUUUAUUCCUAAAGCAUAGCCCUUCAAGCUGAAAGCCUGAGAUAUUUACCAGGGCCCCUCCUCUAUAACAGGUCCUGAACUCAUAAGACUCAUGAAAAUUCUGCUUAUUUCAUUAGCUUCUUAGCUACUCUUUUUUAUGCUUGGCUUCUUUGCCUCCUGUAGUAUUAAUAGCUCUCACCCCACCUCACUCCUGGCUUAGGAAUUAGUAAAUGCUUUGAGGAAAAAUAUGGUGAAGAAUUCCAGUUUUACUUCUCUGUGGUUCACUUUUUCUCUGGGAUCUUAGUGCCCGGAAUCCUGGCUGUCUUGGUUAUUUUCUUCAGACAUCUGCUUUUGCUUUUCUUUAAAAAAUUUUACAUAGUUUUUAUAGAUGUUCUUGGUGGGAGAAUUGGUCCAAAUAUGCUAUUCUAUCAUAGCAGAAGCAGAAAUCUUCAGGUCUUUCUUAUAUGCUCCUAUAGCACUAAAUGCUUCUAACAUUAUGCACUUAGGUUAUAGAGCAACUGCUUUGAUAGCUGAUAUGUAUCCUUUGUUAAACUAUAAAGUUCUUGAGAACAGGAAACUUCUCUUUUAUAUAUAUCUAUAUAUAUCUAUAUCUAUAUAAUGAAUCCUUAAUGAAUAGCAUACACCUUUCACUCAUUCAUUUGUUAGUGCACCAAACAUUUCUGAGUGCCUAUUAUGUAUUAGGAAUUCCAUAUGUGCUACGCAUUUCAUGGUACAGAAGAAAGACAUAGUCCCUGACACAAAGAUAUCCUGUUACAUUUUACUGGAGAGAAAUAGCCAAAAACAAGUAAACCAACAAAUAAAAUAAUUAUAAUUUGUGGUACAUGCGAUGAAGGAAAUAAGCAGGUGCUGGGAUAGAAAAUGAUGAGGGUGUGGGGAAUAGGAAAGGUCAUUCUAGAAGAGGUAGUGAUAUAUUAGCUAAGCCUUGAAGGAUAAGAAGGAUUCAAGCAUGUGAAGUGUGGAGGGAAGAGAAUUCCAGAGAAGGGACAUACAAAUGAAAGCUUCCAAAGUGGCAAAGCGUGCAUGGAACUGAAAAGGCAAUGGAUGGUAGUGAAUGAGUAGGAGAGAGGUAUAAGCAGAGUUUGAAGAGAUAGGCAGAAGCCAGAGUUGCAGGGCCUUGAAGGUUAUGAUGCAGAGUUUGGAAAGCAGAUGCUUAUAUAUUUGCUAAAUGAAUGAAAGUGUUUUAUUUUUCUUGCAAAAAAUUGUUUUUAAAAAUAGCCCUUUUCAUUCUUUUUGAACAUGAAGAAGUGCUUCAUGCUCCUGUGACAGACAGAAAACUUGUACCAGACAUAGUGAUAAAGGCUGAGAAUCAUCAUUGUUCUUAUAUUUUUGUUUACCUAUUGAAGCAGCAAGGAUCUUUGUCUGAUAUUCUGAACCCCAGAGUCAUAUGAGAAGAAGAAAAAUGAAUGGAUGAAGGAAUAAGUCUCUUCUUCAACUCAGAUCACAUCAUCAUUCUCUACUCUGUGCUGUGGUCCAGAAGCUGACCUCUAUGGACUAUUUUAACCAGUUUCCCACCACUUUGGCGUCUGUCUGGGCUUCCUGAUGUGAAAUAGGAAGAACAUUCCUUUCUUCAUUUGACAGCUGAAGGAAAUGAAUUAUAGAAUGAAAGAAUUCAGGUGGAAAGAAAAGGUAAAGUACUCUGAACAAUUUCUGGUUAAUGGUAGAGCUAGGACUAAAAUCCAGUCUUGUAAUUGUAGCACAGUUUUUUAAAAUAAUGUAUCAAAAUUCUAUUUAUGAGUUAGAAUACAUAGGCAGUACUGCAUCACAUUUUCCAUUGGCUAUUUAUUUUUAAAUUGAAAAAAAAAAUUCCAUAAUUGGGAUAAAAAAUUUAUUAAAAAAUAUGUACAGUAUAACAAUGGCUAGAUGAAGAAACAUUCUUGGAGAUUCAAAGAGUUUUCUUGACAUAUGAUGUGGCUUUCAGACCAAUACGACUGGGCAAAAGUGCCUAUCUAGUAAGUUUUAAAAUCAUGACCAUUACCUUCAUGUUAUCUGCAAACAGCAGAGUUUUGGGAGCAUAUCUACAAAAAAUAUAUACAUUAUAUAUGAAUAUUUAGAUUACAUUUAUAAUCAUACUAAUAAUGAUAUUUUCUCUUUUUAAAAGGACAUUAGAUUAAUUGCUCGUUUAUGUAGCUAUAAAGUGUUAUUUUUUUCUAAAGGCUUAUAUAAAACACCGUUUAUAAUGAAGUCAUCCCUUUUUUGCAUAAAUGGCUUUGGUUAGCCUGAUGUGAAGAGGGACAAAAAUUAACACUGGGUCCCUUCUGUCACAGGAUGUUGUAUUUUAUGCUUUACAGAUAUUAUCUCAGUUAAUAAACUCUUGCCUUUCUUGUGUUUUUUUUUUUGAAUCCUGUUACAUUGUUCAGUUUUUACUUGUAAAAAGUAUUAUAGAAGAGUUUUAUUGUAAUGUUAUUUUAUUAAGCCAUUUUCAUGGGUUAUUUUUUUUUUAAAGUUUAAGAAGUUUUUACAACAGGCUGGGUGUGGUGGCUCACACCUGUCAUCCCAGCACUUUGGGAGGCCCGGGCGGGCAGAUACCUGAGGUCGGGAGUUCAAGACCAGCCUGACCAACAUGGAGAAACCUCGUCUCUACUAAAAAUACAAAAUAAAAUACAAAAAUUAGCCGGGCAUGGUGGCACAUGCCUGUAAUCCCGGCUACUCGGGAGGCUGAGGCAGGAGAAUUGCUUGAACCUGCGAGGCGGGGGUUGUGGUGAGCUGAGAUCGUGCCAUUGCACUCCAGCCUGGGCAACAAGAGUGAAACUCCGUCUCAAAAAAAAAAAAAAAAGUUUUUACAACAGACAUAGACGUCAUUGCUUCAACAAUUAUCAACAUUUUACCAAUCUUGUUUCAUCUAUCCCCCCACUUAUUUUUGCCAUCUUUCAGAGCAAAUGAUAAUUUUCUUACUGUAGAAAAUUAAAACAUCAAUUAUCUUUCAGAGUUCCACACCAACUGCAUCUCAAACGUGAAUAAACUUAUUUAAAAUUGUUUCUCUACUAGAUAAAUAAUUAUCAGCUUGCUACCUCCUAUAGCAACCUAGGUAUUUUCUCUCUCUCUUUUUCUUUUUUUUUUUUUUGAGAUGGAGUUUCGCUCUUGCUGCUCAGGCUGGAGUGCAAUGGCACAAUCUCAGCUCACUGCAACCUCUGCCUCCCGCGUUCAAGCCAUUCUCCUGUCUCAGCCUCCUGAGUAGCUGGGAUUACAGGCGUAUGCCACCAUGCCCGGCUAAUUUUUGUAUUUUAUUUUAUUUUUUUAGUAGAGACGGGGUUUCAUCAUAUUGGUCAGGCUGGUGUCAAACUCCUGACCUCAGGUGAUCCGCCUGCCUCGGCCUCCCAAAAUGCUGGGGUUACAGGCAUAAGCCACCGCGCCUGACCCAUUUUCUUUUUUUUUACUUCCUGCACAAGGGGGAAAUUAGCAUUGUUUUAGAGUAAAAAAACCUGAAUCUGAAUCCUGGUUCUGUUUAUUGUUAGCUUCAGGGACUCUCAGCAAAAUUACUAAACCUCUCUCACCUUCAGUUUUCUUGUUGGUAAAAAUGGGGAUAAUCACACUUUUAAAACAAUACCUUUGAAGCUCUUUAUUCCUUUUAUUCAUUCAGUAAAUGUCUACUGAGUGUCUUUUAUGCCCCAAGUGUUAAACUAAGGGCUGGAGAGAGAGUAGGGGGUAAACCUAGACGCUGCUUCUAUUUUAGUGCAGUGCCAACCUGUUACAAGGUUUGUCUUUUUUUUUUCCAGGUUAGGUUUAUCUUUUUUUUUAUUAUUAUUAUACUUUAAGUUUUAGGGUACAUGUGCACAACGUGCAGGUUUGUUACAUAUGUAUACAUGUGCCAUGAUGGUGUGUGUUACAAGGUUUUUCAAACUCUGGAUGACAAAUGGAGAUAGGCUGUAAAAUCAACUUGUGAACAAUUUUCUAAUGAAAAGGAUAAAAAUAUAUUUCAACACACAUGGUAAGGAUGACUCUUGUUUCAUAAAACUUAUUUUUGUUUAUAUACGUGUAUGUAUGUAUAUUUAUAUGUACUGUAUAUGUUAUAUAUGUGUGUGUAUAUCAUUGGCUUUUGAUGUAUAAUAUAUUUAAUGUAUUUCUUCCCAUGGGUGUGGUUAAAAUAAAACUCUUAAAGCCACUGAUGCAUCAGGAGAGGCAGAUAUUAAUCAAAUAAUCACAUUAAUGAAUAUAUAAAUACAAAUUAAGAAAACCACUCCAAAGCAAAGAAACAUGAUUUUAUGAGAGUAUAUAAUUAAAGUACCUGAGCUACACUGGAGAGUCAUGAAAAGCAUGAUAAAAGGAUUUCUGAUUUGAAUAUGAAGAAUGAGUAAGAGCUAAGUAGGGGUGUGUGUGUGCAGGUAUGUAGGUGGGGAGAGACAAAGGGAGGGAAAUAGGGAGGGAAAGAAGGAGAGGGAGAGAGAGGAAAAGAUAGACAUGAAGUGGAAGUGCUCCAUCAUUGUGUGCAAAGAGAACAUAUGUGCAAAGGCCUUGGUUCAUGUCUUCCUUAUAUCUUAUACUCUAGCUAUUAUCAACUGCUAGUACUAUCCCUGAGAAUACCAAGAUAACUCAUAUGUUGGCUCCGUGACAUGUGCUACUUCCACUACUUAAAGCGUCCUUUUCUUAUUCUUGCCUUCUGAUUAAAGAUUUUUUAGCUGUUAAGACUCAGCUCAAGUGUCAUCUUCUCUGUGAAGUCAUAUCUGACUCCUCUCCCCUCAAGAGUUGCGUGCAUCCUCUUUUGUUUCCCCAGUGUAGCCUGAAAUCAAUUAUGGCUUCUAAAUAUAUUUACAGUAUUUGCUAAUCCCUGGCACUUGCUGUACAAUAGGUGUUAAAUAAAUGUUCAAUAUGUUAAGUAUUCAAAAAUGGUUGGCAGACGAAUGAAUGUGGCUACAAAAACGUUCUUAGAAGAUUCAUGCACGAAUGACCAAAUAAGUAAUAUUUUCUAACACAAAGUUUUAUAUUUGUUAUAUAUACUUUUUGCUGAUCCAUAUAUAUUGUUUCCUUCAAAAUUUGAGUCAACAUCUUAAGAAUGUUUAGAAAGACUGCUUUGGCUGGGCAAAUCACUUCAGCUCAGGAGUUUGAGACAAAGCUGGGCAACAUGGCAAAACCCCACCUCUACAAAAAUACA
rnacentral:lncRNA from 1 species